CAUAUUAGAUAUUACAUUGCUUCAGACGAAGUGAAGAAACGGGAACAGUACUCCAGAUGACAAGGGCACUCAGGCCACAGUAGUUAGUUAGCAAUACACUCGUGGUAACUGCUAUAUGGUUGACAACAAGUAACAGAGUCAAACAUCUCGGGCAGUGUAGUCCGAGGCGUUUUGUUUUCGUCGUGGUUUAGCUAGCCCGCAAACAUGACUUCCUUGACUCUGCGGAGUUCGGGCCUAGUGCAGAGACGGACUGAAGCCUCGCGCAACGCCGCUGACAAAGACCGUCCAUCCGGCCAAGAGGAACAUGAGCCCCGGCGAGGAGACAAGCAGAACGAUGACGAUACCGGAGACUCCAAAGAAACACGUCUCACCUUGAUGGAAGAAGUACUGUUGUUAGGACUGAAGGACAGAGAGGGCUACACCUCGUUCUGGAAUGACUGCAUUUCAUCAGGCCUGCGAGGGUGCAUGCUGAUUGAACUGGCCCUGCGAGGACGCCUUCAGCUGGAGGCUUGUGGCAUGAGGAGGAAAGGUCUGCUGGCCAGAAAGGUGAUUUGUAAGUCAGAUGCUCCAACAGGUGAUGUGCUCUUGGAUGAGGCUCUAAAACACAUCAAAGACACCCAACCACCGGAGACUGUACAGAGCUGGAUUGAACUUCUCAGUGGAGAGACAUGGAAUCCCCUGAAGCUUCACUAUCAACUGCGGAAUGUCCGUGAACGGCUGGCUAAGAACUUGGUGGAAAAGGGCGUCCUCACUACCGAGAAGCAGAACUUUCUGCUUUUUGAUAUGACCACACAUCCUCUGACAAACAACAACAUCAAGCAGCGCCUCAUCAAAAAGGUCCAGGAGGCCGUACUGGACAAGUGGGUGAAUGACCCUCAUCGAAUGGACAAGCGGCUGCUUGCACUCAUCUUUUUAGCCCAUUCCUCUGAUGUUCUGGAAAAUGCCUUUGCCCCACUGCUAGAUGACCAAUACGACCUGGCCAUGAAGAGAGUGCGGCAGCUGCUGGAACUGGAGCCUGAGGGGGAGAGCACGAAGGCUAACACCAACGAGCUGUUAUGGGCUGUGGUGGCUGCCUUCACCAAAUGAGGCAACCACAAAGUGGACAGAAAGCAGUUGUGACAUUCAAGUGGCAUUGUAUGUUGAGGUCUGGAGACUGUUCCGGCUCUCAGUGGCCAGUGAGGGAGGUACACACUGCACAUGUCGCCAGUAUAUCACAGGGUGACUCAUAGAGACGGACAACCAUUCACACAUACAGGUAAUUCAAAGUUUCCUGACCUGCAUGUCUUUGGAAUGAGUGAGAAAUGCCUUGCAGGCACUUGGAGAAAAUCCAGACUCCCUGCAGAAAGGCCCCAGCUGCCUUCUGGAUUCUAACACAGAAUUUUCUUGCUGUGAGGCAACAGCACUACCCUCUGAACCACCAUUCUCCCUGACAUUCUGCUCUUUCUGGCCUAAAGUUGUGUGGGAGAGCAUUCGUUUGUCAACAGGACAACAAGCCUAGGCAUGCAUGGAGCUAUAAACAGUCCAAGGUAGAGCGCUGACUUGUAUGACUUUCCUUAUCAGUAACUUCAAAGUCAGCCCCAUUGAAUAUUUUGGAAUAUUUUUUUUUAAUGAAAAGCCAAAACAUGAUGACAGACUUGCGUAGGGCAUUGUGUUAGAAUAGAAUAAUACAAAUUCUUAAGAAUUGAUGGGGCUAAUAUACCAAGGUAUGAUGAUGCAAGGGAAAAUAAAUACACUAAAUAUUAAUGAGCCUUUCUGACAUAAGUGAAUACAGGGCAUAUUGUGCUCGAUAUCCUUUGGUUAGUAGUUUUUUAAUGUAAUGAAAAAUUAAUUUUGGUGAAGGACUGAGAUUACACUGUUUGUUAUCUAGAUGCACUGUCAAAAUGUGUGCAUGUCUAAUAUAAACCAGGUGGCAUUCAGCAUUUCCAUCUGUAAUAUCUGAAUGCUAACAAACAUAUCUUGAUGUGGGUCUAAUGUCAUGGUUUUCAAUUUUUGCUUAUAUGUCCUUGGCAACACAGAUGGCUCUAUAAAUGUGUAAUUAUUCCACUUGCGCCAAAUGAUACUGACUAGAGUAAAACAGCUCUUUGCAUGAGUGGCUAUUGAGGAACCAACUAUAACACUUUAGUGGUGGGAAAAACUCAGGAAUGCAGAUCCAAUCAAUGCCAGCUACCUUUGUUAGCAAAAUUCAAAUAGACAUAGUUUUCACUUAGUACUGAGUUCAAAUAUACUCUCAAAUGUAGUAACACAGGGCUUAAUAUAGGCUAAAUGCAAUUACAGUGAUGAUCUUAUCCUCAGCUUUUCAGUUUGUGUAUGCCACCAGGACUUGAUUUAGUAACAAUACAACACUUUCAAGUUAUUCACUAGCAUUUAGUGGAAAUAUGCUUAUGUGAAGAUGAAUGUAAUUCCAAGUCUUCUCCAGUAUAGUGAAAGGUCCAAGAUGUGUUAAAUUGAUUUAAAAGACUGGAUCUGACAGAAACUGCUGCCAUAGCUCCAUUUAUCUUAUUAUAUUUGAUAUGAUACAUUCUUUAUGUGAACAUACAGAAAACAAGAUACAUUUUUAGAGAACACUGGAACUAUUUCUUGACCAACACCCAGCCGUGCAGUGAUACCAGACAGUAUUUCAAAAGUCCUGUCCUCACAGUAUCAAAAAACCCAAUCGUUGAGUCAGCUGGUUGACCAUCUUGCUCACAAUAUAAACUAAUAUGUGCUUGCUUCAGAGUUGUUGGAAAGUGCAUUUUUCACUUUGUGUGGGCCUAGGCUCGCACUUCCCCCUGCUUCCUGUCUUUGUGCUAAGGUAGGCAAAUCAUAUUCCAGACCUAUCACUGUAUAGGAUGCACAGAUCUCAAAUGUAUAUAUUGACUUUAGCAUGUGAGCGUGCAACAAGUGCAUUUCCUAAACUGUCAGCGAUGCUUUAAUGUGCAGACAGCCUUACUUUGUAGUUUCUGGUGAGUGAGUGCUCUCAAAAUAAAUCCAUUGUGUGUACAAAACAUUAUUAUUAUGAUUAGAUAUGAUUAUCUAACAUGCUCACCAAAGCCUAAUUAAAGAAAAAUCAAAAGAUGGGGUAACAUUCCAGGUGUUAAUGUAUAUACCUAAACUGUUUGUAUCAGGCACAAAUUCAAAGGACAUUUAAUCACUAUUGCCUUGUUAGCUUUCCAAAAUCUGUCAUGGUUCAGUUGCAGUUUUUCAAAAUAAUAGACAUUUUGCUCUAAAACAUUCAACAAAGCCUUUUCAUUAUGAGCCAUACCUUGCCCUUAAUUUCAUUUUUGCAUAUGUUUAACUGUGUUCUGUUUUAACACAACUACUCAUCCUCCUACAUGUCGACAGUUGUAUCACAGGGCUGACACAGAGACAGACAACCAGACCACCACACCUGCAGGCAGUUCAUGUCACCUGGCCUGCAUAUCUUUGGACUGUGUGACAACACCCUCGCAGGCGCUUGGGAAAAAUGGAAACUUCAAAGAAAAAGGCCCAAGCUUCGUGCUGGAUUCAAACUGAGGAUUUUCUUGUGACAGCACUAGCCACUGAUCCAUAGUGCUGCCCAACAGUCCAUCCCUUCUGGUCUUAAGUUGUGUUAAACUUGCUUAACUGUUCUUUGUUUCAACACAUUUCCUAUUCAACCUCAUGGAUCUUGUGAAAGACAUUGCUUUGUUACAGAUAGCCUCCUUCUGGUGUAGUAUGUAGCAAAGGGCUGAGAGUGGUUCGUCUGUGAUGGUGGGAGAAGAGAGGAGGUGACCAAAGGGUUUAUUCAUCACAAAGUCACCUCAAAUUGAGUGUACAGAGUGAAUAUGACAGAUUAUAUAUGUUAUCUAAAUAAAGGGACCUCUAGUCUGUGUGCUUUCUUUGACCAUGGAAAAUAAACCAAGAUCUUGUAAGUGCCUAAUCAUACAACUGAGUUUAAUGUUUUGAAUUUGAAGCUUGUGGACACAACCUCCUCGUCCCAUGUAAGGACUCAGAUUUAGCACAUGCUAAUUUACUGAUUUUGAGUUUUCUCUCUCUCUCUCUCUCUCUCUCUCUCUCUGUGUGUGUGUGUGUGUGUGUGAGAGAGAGAGAGAGAGACAGAGAUUUCAUUUGGGAGAACAAAUCAGGCUAUACUCUGACAGUAAUUGGACCCUGUGAGAAACCACACUCACCCUGCCAUGUCUUGUGUUUUUUCUGUCACUCCACACUUAUCAUGGUUUCUAAUUCUGCUUUUGUGUUAACCCACUGAAUUUCAGUGAAUGUAAGAAACAUUCUGGAAACAAAUCUGUACAAAUUAACCGUUUAAUUAGUUUAAUUACAAAUAUAAAACAAGAUAAGUGAUGACACAUUAAGUCAAAUGGAAUUCAUGUUUGCUAUGGUGUAACAAGUCAUUUGGUCAAACAGCUGGUUUAAAUAACUUCACAGGAGACUAAAAAAUUCUAACAAAGUAAAACUACACAUUCCAAAAUCUUCUGAUACAUGUUCACUCAAAAAUGUCAAGAAGUACAGUAAGGUCAAUUGUUUUAAAAAUGUAGAAAUAAAAAUGCUGCAGCAGUGAAUCUGCCUAGACUUGGCUGGCUGUGUGAAUAAUUGCAAAAGAAAAAUUUAAGAUUAACAUUAGCAUUUCCUUCCCCUAGUGGUAUCUAGCCAUGCAGACAAUUUAUUAGAUAUCACCGAUUUUCCUUAUGUUUCUAUAAAUAUAACUACAAAUGAAAAGUUAAGUGUGUGGAGUCUGUGGAUUAUCCAUAGUAAAAGGGACUCAUUUAGUGGAAAGACAUUAAAUGUAAUUUUUCAAAUAUCAAAAGCUGGAAAAAUAUAAUCAAG